CUCGUAGGCGGCCAACUAAGUCAGACGUGAAAAUCCCUCGGCUUAACCCGGGGAACUGCGUCUGAUACUGGAUGGCUGGAGUUUGGGAGAGGGAUGCGGAAUUCCAGGUGUAGCGGUGAAAUGCGUAGAUAUCUGGAGGAACACCGGUGGCGAAGGCGGCAUCCUGGACCAAUACUGACGCUGAGGAGCGAAAGCCAGGGAGCAAACG
rnacentral:rRNA from 1 species